rnacentral:rRNA from 1 species
UACGGGGGGGGCAAGCGUUGUUCGGAAUUACUGGGCGUAAAGGGCUCGUAGGUGGCCAACUAAGUCAGACGUGAAAUCCCUCGGCUUAACCGGGGAACUGCGUCUGAUACUGGAUGGCUUGAGAUUGGGAGAGGGAUGCGGAAUUCCAGGUGUAGCGGUGAAAUGCGUAGAUAUCUGGAGGAACACCGGUGGCGAAGGCGGCAUCCUGGACCAACACUGACACUGAGGAGCGAAAGCCAGGGGAGCAAAUGGG